rnacentral:rRNA from 1 species
UACAGAGGUCUCAACCGUUGUUCGGAUUCAUUGGGCGUAAAGGGUGCGUAGGCGGUCGGGUAAGUCGGAUGUGAAAUCCCAGGGCUCAACCCUGGAACUGCAUUCGAUACUGCCUGGCUAGGGUACUGGAGAGGAGACUGGAAUUUACGGUGUAGCAGUGAAAUGCGUAGAUAUCGUAAGGAAGACCAGUGGCGAAGGCGAGUCUCUGGACAGUUACAGACGCUGAGGCACGAAGGUCAGGGGAGCAAACGGG